UACGGAGGGUGCAAGCGUUAAUCGGAAUUACUGGGCGUAAAGCGCGCGUAGGCGGCUCGGUCAGUCGGGUGUGAAAUCCCUGGGCUCAACCUGGGAACUGCAUUCGAUACUGCCGAGCUAGAGUGUGGGAGAGGGUAGUGGAAUUCCCGGUGUAGCGGUGAAAUGCGUAGAUAUCGGGAGGAACAUCAGUGGCGAAGGCCGACUGCUGGCCCAACAC
rnacentral:rRNA from 1 species